ensembl:lncRNA
CUUACGGUGCGUACACACCAAACGCGAAAGAGGCGGCCAGAGCGUCAGGUUCACAUGUAAAGUCAAUGGAAAGAGCACGAUGACACGCGAUUGCGCAUCCGGCGAAAAUGCGGAGGCAGAUUUGCGUCGGGAAAACGCCAAAACCCGUGAAACGCGCGUCAGUGUACCGCGUGGGGCGCGUGUGACUCGCGAAAGAAAACCACGCGCGUCAGAUUGUGUGUUGCAUUUUGUGCACACGCUCGAGUUGGAAAAUAUGAACUCCGGCGUCAAAUCGCGCCCCGACAACCAAUCAGGAGGCCGGUGACGUGGCUGUAACCAGGUCACAGGGGCAGAUCAAACCAUAGCCCUUCAUUCUUCAUUCAGUAUGGAGGAGAAGCUCAUCACUGCAGUGGCUAAUCACCCAGAGCUGUAUGAUGCCAGCUGCUACUUCUACCGAGACAGGAUUAUUAAAAAGGACCGAGCUUGGAGGCACAGAAGUGAGGAGAUCGGGCAACCUGAACCAGCUGAUUCUGCAGCAGAGCAUCCCCUGUUGCUUCUCCUUGCUCCCCAGUCCCUGAGCUCCUGCUGCUGCACCCACAGGCCCAGAGAGGAGGACAGCUCCGAGGCAGAUGAGGGACUGGUCCCAGGACGGUCCAUCGGCGGUGGAGCUGGCCAUCCUGGUGUCCCUGAAGAGGCCACGCCAGUCUCCAAUGGAGCAUUUCCUCCUCAGCCUUGUUCCUGCUCUGGAGAGCAGCUGGGUCCUUUUUAUUCC